rnacentral:rRNA from 1 species
ACGAACGCUGGCGGCGUGCUUAACACAUGCAAGUCGAACGGAAAGGCCCCUUUGGGGGUACUCGAGUGGCGAACGGGUGAGUAACACGUGAGUAACCUGCCCUUGACUUCGGGAUAACUUCAGGAAACUGGGGCUAAUACCGGAUAGGAAUCCUUGCUGCAUGGUGGGGGUUGGAAAGCUUCGGCGGUUUUGGAUGGACUCGCGGCUUAUCAGCUUGUUGGUGGGGUAGUGGCUUACCAAGGCCUUGACGGGUAGCCGGCCUGAGAGGGCGACCGGCCACAUUGGGACUGAGAUACGGCCCAGACUCCUACGGGAGGCAGCAGUGGGGAAUAUUGCACAAUGGGCGGAAGCCUGAUGCAGCAACGCCGCGUGCGGGAUGACGGCCUUCGGGUUGUAAACCGCUUUCAGCAGGGGCGAAGCUUGUGGUGACGGUACCUGCAGAAGAAGCACCGGCUAACUACGUG